rnacentral:rRNA from 1 species
CGGACGGGUGAGUAAUACAUCGGAACGUGUCCUAAAGUGGGGGAUAACGCAUCGAAAGAUGUGCUAAUACCGCAUAAUCUCUGAGGAGAAAAGUAGGGGAUCGAAAGACCUUAUGCUUUUGGAGCGGCUGAUGUCUGAUUAGCUAGUUGGUAAGGUAAUGGCUUACCAAGGCGACGAUCAGUAGUUGGUCUGAGAGGACGACCAGCCACACUGGGACUGAGACACGGCCCAGACUCCUACGGGAGGCAGCAGUGGGGAAUUUUGGACAAUGGGCGCAAGCCUGAUCCAGCAAUGCCGCGUGAGUGAAGAAGGCCUUCGGGUUGUAAAGCUCUUUCAGUUGAAAAGAAAAAGUCGUGACUAAUAAUCAUGGCUCAUGACGGUAUCAACAGAAGAAGCACCGGCUAACUACGUGCCAGCAGCCGCGGUAAUACGUAGGGUGCAAGCGUUAAUCGGAAUUACUGGGCGUAAAGGGUGCGCAGGCGGUUCUGUAAGUCAGAUGUGAAAUCCCCGGGCUUAACCUGGGAACUGCGUUUGAAACUGCAGAGCUAGAGUGCGGCAGAGGGAGGUGGAAUUCCAUGUGUAGCAGUGAAAUGCGUAGAGAUAUGGAAGAACAUCGAUGGCGAAGGCAACCUCCUGGGCUAGCACUGACGCUCAUGCA